rnacentral:rRNA from 1 species
AUGUUUUGUAAAAUGCACAUUGUUGAGUGUAAGCUCAUCAAAGAUGGAAAUAUCCAGGAACAGGCUGGAAUUCAUCAUGUAAAACAAAAUCGAACAGCAACUCAAAGCCGGUGGUACAAGAAAUCAUACAUAUGGCCAGGAAAUUGGUGGAGCUUCUUCGUCGUUGACAUUCACAGUGAAGCGUGUAAUCCCAUUUACCGCUGUACAUUUUGGUGCAGAGAGAGUGAAGUAAGACAUCCAGCUGCUACACUUCAGUUUGGUUAUAUCAAGAGAAGAAAAUCAUAUCUGUUGCGCUUACGCCUUUACAGACAGCCUGUUGUUUCGGUGGCGGUGGUGGGUCUGUCUUGGAUGUCAGGGCGGCAACACUGGGUGGCGAGGUUGUGCGCUUGGCUCUGCAAUGAGUAG